ACGGAGGGUGCAAGCGUUGUUCGGAAUUAUUGGGCGUAAAGGGCGCGUAGGCGGUAAUGUAAGUCAGAUGUGAAAUACUUCGGCUCAACUGAAGAACUGCAUCUGAAACUGCAUAACUAGAGUACAGAAGAGGGAAACGGAAUUCCCGGUGUGCGGUUGCAUUGCGUAGAACUGGGGCGGAGGAGCAGAGGCGAGGGGAGAAAAAAGGUCUGGUUCUGAGGGUAGGACAGGUAAGUGAGGGAUGAGGUUUG
rnacentral:rRNA from 1 species